UUUUUGUUUGUUUGUUUUUAAGAGGGAAUAUCAGCGAGCAGAGAGGACAGAGCAGGGGAGGAGGCAGUGAUGAAAGACACAGAUCUGAGACAGAGGAAGAUCUCUGAAGACACCAAAAGGGAUGUGAUCAAGGGCCCAGAUGAAGGACGAGGUGUCAUGGGGGAGAAGGGACCACCCGAAUGUAGGAAAAGAAAAACAGGCUGUUAUGUGAUCCUCAAUUCCCAAAACAUUGCACGAGGCCUUGUUAAAGUCUGCAAAAUGAUCCGAAGAUAAAAGAAGAUAUGAGAGGAUUUCUAUAUACUUCACCAUAUUACUUCUGGCCAGUUUUGACAGUGAGCGGCAAGGAUUGAGCGAUACAUGCGAAUAUGAAAAAUGGCAACUCAAAGUAACUCCCUUGGAAGGGAAAGGGAAAAGGUGGUGUUAGUUUGGAAGGUGAGGGAAAGAAGGGAGGGCGUGAUGAAGGUAAACCGAGGAACGCACAGUCUUUGGAACCAGACAAACCUGGAAGCAAUGUUGGCUCUACCACUUACUUUGAUUUUAAAUAUGUUUCUUAACCUUCUCUGCUCCUGAGUUUCUUCUUUCAAAAUGCUAUGAAUAAUACUUGCCUCCUGGGAUUGGAAUGAGAAUCAGAGGCAGUAUAUUUGAAAAAAAAAAAAAGUAGUACAUGUUUUUCACCUUCCAUUCCCUCUUUUCCAGGAAAUAUCACCUGGAGAUAUUUAUUGACUGUAUUUAAGUGAUCUUCAUCAAGGUGUGUGCCAGGGAAGUUUUUUAAAGAAAUAUGCCACGUAUAGAUAAAUUAAGAUGGUUACCUUAAAAAAUAUUCAGUAAAAAAUGAAGAGCAUGAGGAGUUCCUAGUGGCUCAUUGGGCUAACCAUCUGGCACUGUCACUGCCAUGGCUCAGGUUGCUUCUGUGGCUCAGGUUAUUGCUAUGGCUAUUGUGUGGCCAAAAAAAUAAAGAUGAAUAGCAUGAGGCCAGAAUGGCAGGAAAGGCAAAACAUAUAUAGCUUUAUAGCUUGUGGCUAUAAAAGAUAGUAUAAGAAACAGUAAAGAUAAUAUUGGUAGAGAAGUCUUAAAAGAAAGAAGGAAAGAAGAAGAAAAGAGAAAGGAAGAAAAAGAGAGAAAAAGAAAGAAAUUAAGAAAGAAAGAAAGAAAAGAAAUAUUAUUCAUAGGGAAAUUGUAAAGUGAAAACAGAAGAGAGAAUCACUUUUCUAGUAUGAGUCAGUAUUUGCUUUUAUACCAUUUCAUCACAAUAAAGUAGAAUCAUUGAUUCAGCUCUGUGUAAUCAAAAGAGCACGGAUUUGGGAGCCAGACAGCCAUGGCUUUGAGAAUUGACUUUGUCUCACACUAGCUGGAUGAUCUCAGACAAGUGACAAAUUCCUUGAGUCACCGUGUGUUAGUUUCCUAGGCCUGCCCUAAUGAAGUGCCAAAAACUGGAUGGCUUGAAACAACAGAAAUUUAUUGUCUUAUAAUUCUGGAGGCCAGAAGUCCAAAACUAAAGUGUCAGCGGGGUGAUGCUCUUUUGAAGCCUAAGGGAGGAUCUCUUCCUUGCCUUCUUCUAACUUCUGCUAAUCCAGGUGGAUCUUGACUAGCAGAUGCAUCAUUCCAAUCCUCUGUCUUCAUAAGGCAUCCUCCCUGUGUGUCUCCAUCUUCAUGUGGCUGUCUGCUUACAGCAACCAAGUCAUAUUGGAUUAGGAACCCACGCCAUUCCAGUAGAACCUCCUCUUAAAUAACUAUAGCUGCACUGACCCUACUUUCAAAUACAAGGUCACAUUCCAAGGUGCUGAGGGUUAAGACUUCGACAUAGAUUUUUUGGGGAGACAUAAUUCAGCCAAUAAUACUCAAUAUCUUCAAUCCUUAGGUGAGACUAAAAGUACAUUCUUUGCAAUGUUGUUAUGAGAAUCUUGUGUAAACUUCCGGAAAAAUACCGAGCAUGAUAUACAACACACAGUAAAUGAGAAAAAUGAAGAGGAAUCAAAAUCAGUCUUCAAAACUGUCUUUUGGUGUCAUGAUCUGAAUCUGAUUCCCUCUGAGUUAUGCGCCAAGAAGUAUUGGUGGAGAGUUCUUAGUAGGUUCUGUGGCUCUUUAAUACGGCAUUCAUGGGUGACCUGGGUUCAACGUUUACUGACCACUUACUGUAUGUUUGGCAUUGUACCAGAUACAGAGGGAUACCUGGGGAGGAGACCUGAGGCCACUUCUGUGGUUUUCUGGGUGGUUUAUAUUCCAUCUCCCAUCCCAGGUAGCCCUCCAAUCUAGAAGCCAUGGUCUAGAAAGGGGUCAGCAAACCAUGACCCGCGAGCCAAACCCAGGCCACUGACUGUGUUUGUAAAUAAAGUUUUAUUGCAAGAUAGCCGUGUCCAUUUGUUUAUAUUUGUCUGUGGUUAUGUCUGUGUUUCCAUGGCAGAGUUGGGGAGUUGUGACGGAGGUAGGCCCACAAAGCCUAAAUGAUUUACUAUCUGGGUUUUCAUAGACAUGUUACCUUUCUGAUAAUGCAGACUUUGACUUAUAUUCUCUUUCUUUUUUUCCAUCGUAGGAGACUUAGACCCUUCGCAGUCCACAAGCUUAUCAAUUCUCAGAGCUUCAAGUUCAGGAAAUCUACAGUAGAAUCCAAUUUGGGAAGAACAGAAUUGCUGGACAACGAAUAAAUCCUGCUGAGCACAGCGUAAAGGAAUUCAUGGCUGAACUGAGUUUUUCCUGAGCCAUUUGAAAAUAAGCUGCAGAACGUUUGACCUGUUUGUCCCAAGUACUCCCACGUGAGGCUCCCAUGAACAGAGACAUUCUCUUCCAUAACCAUGAUGAUCACGGAAUCCUGGGUAGAGCUCUCUGCGCUACACAGCAGGCUCCUGCUGGCCAAUCGUUUCAUAUACUGCACUGUGCAUUUGCCAAUCCCAAACCCCAAGUCCAUCACUCCCACCUCCUUGACCUGUCCCCUUUGGUAACCAUAAGUUUUCAAAGUCUGUGAGUCUGUUUCUUUUUCUU